GACGAACGCUGGCGGCGUGCCUAAUACAUGCAAGUCGAACGAGAGCGACCGGUGCUUGCACUGGUCAAUCUAGUGGCGAACGGGUGAGUAACACGUGGGUAACCUGCCCAUCAGAGGGGGAUAACAUCCGGAAACGGAUGCUAAAACCGCAUAGGUCUUCGAGCCGCAUGGCUUGAAGAGGAAAAGAGGCGCAAGCUUCUGCUGAUGGAGGUACCCGCGGUGCAUUAGCUAGCUGGUGAGGUAACGGCUCACCAAGGCCGUGAUGCAUAGCCGAGCUGCGAGGGUGAUCGGCCACAUUGGGUGUGAGACACGGCGCAAACUCCUACGGGAGGCAGCAGUAGGGAUUCUUCCGCAAUGGACGCAAGUCUGACGAAGCAACGCCGCGUGAGUGAAGAAGGUUUUCGGAUCGUAAAACUCUGUCGUUAGAGAAGAACAAGUGCUAGAGUAACUGUUAGCGCCUUGACGGUAUCUAACCAGAAAGCCACGGCUAACUACG
rnacentral:rRNA from 1 species